rnacentral:rRNA from 1 species
GACGAACGCUGGCGGCGUGCUUAACACAUGCAAGUCGAACGGUAAGGCUCCAGCUUGCUGGGGUACACGAGUGGCGAACGGGUGAGUAACACGUGGGUGACCUGCCCUGCACUUCGGGAUAAGCCUGGGAAACUGGGUCUAAUACCGGAUAGGACCAUGGUGUUGAUACUGUGGUGGAAAGUUUUUUCGGUGUGGGAUGGGCCCGCGGCCUAUCAGCUUGUUGGUGGGGUAAUGGCCUACCAAGGCGGCGACGGGUAGCCGGCCUGAGAGGGUGGACGGCCACAUUGGGACUGAGACACGGCCCAGACUCCUACGGGAGGCAGCAGUGGGGAAUAUUGCACAAUGGGCGGAAGCCUGAUGCAGCGACGCCGCGUGGGGGAUGACGGCCUUCGGGUUGUAAACUCCUUUCACCAUCGACGAAGGGUUUCUGACGGUAGAUGGAGAAGAAGCACCGGCUAACUACGUG